rnacentral:lncRNA from 1 species
UCUCGUGGCCCUCUCCGGCGCCCAAUGGUCGAUCGAAGCUUCCGUAAUCACUAUGCAGACUCGUGACCUUGGGGUCCAAUACCAUCCUGCGAACAGAAGACGCAACUAUUAUCGCAAUUGCUCGUCGCACCGCAUGUCGGAUAAGUCGAACAACAGUCCCGAGAAGUUGAAAAAUUUCGUGAAUAUUUUUUAUUUGAAAAUAUAUAUAUAUAUUUAUAUUUAUAUUGGGUGGCUUUAGGUAGAAAAAAAAUAAGUUUUUUUAAUUUCUUUUCAACGAGUUCUAAGAUGAAAGAUAAUAGCGGUGAACGAAAAUGAAACUUCGAAGCGAUAUUACGUUCGAGAUUUUCUAACCAGCCUCGAUCUCACGCGGUGAAAUCCGCUCAACAGUUGAACAAUUUAAUGGCGCCACGGAGGAACGAUAGUUAUCAUCGCAUUGGUGGAGUAAAAGGUUAUCGUGUUAAGGAUACGUGUUGACGUGGCUCGCUUUAAAAGCGACCAGCCUGAAAUCCUGGAAUGGGCGAGGCCGACCAGAUAUCCGGGCAGGAAGUUUGCGGAAAGUGCAGAGACAUUCCGCUGAUAAUAGCCUCAUGAUCGCGAUGACGGAGGAAAACGUUAACGAUUAUUAUCAUAACGUGACAGAUUGUUGUUGAAAGAUUGUUUGAUCUUAUAAGUAUUCCAAAUGCUCGCUAUAUUUUACGAAAAAUAUUUAUUAUUUCAUUCUACACCGUAUUUUUUAAUGCAUAAUACAAUUAUUAUACCGUUAUUCGAAUGGUAAUUUAACAUAAUCAUUAGUCUAUCUUGAAAUAUCUAUAUAUUUUAUUUUAUUUAUUUUACACUAAUUUAUUUGUUGACUCGAAAAAAUUUAAAUCAAAAUAAAACUCAUAAGAUAAGCUUGAAAUACGUGUACAAUGAAAGGAUUAAAAAUUAAAUAUUUAAAUAAAGAAAAUAAUUUUGUAAUCGACGGAACACAAAACCGUGUUGCAAUAAAGUAAAAAAAAUAAAAAAAAGAAAAAGGAAGAAGUUGGAUCAAAUUCCCUUUAUAAUUUAACUAAUUUCCGGUAAUCGAUUUUAACGCUUCGCUAAUUUAUGGCUUCCAACUUUAAUCGUCUGACACAAUAAAUUCAUUCGGAAAUUAUUUGUACUGUUAUCUGAUAAUGAUUUUAAUUAACUUCGCGUCAAGAGAUUGCAAACAAUUGAAAACGCGAGUUGCAAUUAAUUGCGGAUUUAUUUUUAGAAACGUGCUAACGUUUGCAAAAAUUGUUGAUUGGUUUCUUUUUUCUUUUCUCUUUUUCCCUUUUGUUAUUUACAUUCAAAAGAUUCUUUCCAUUCAUGACGAAGAAUAAAAUGAUGGGAAAGAAGAAAAGCUCAAUCGUGGGUGGCGCCGACCGAUAAGAGGACUUCUUGUAGGCGGAUCUUUGGUUUUACGUAUUGAAUAAAAUGAUAAGUUCUGCGUAGAUAAUUCGAUGGUUGGUUGAUCAAGUGACAUAAAAACAAACGAUGUUUUAUGUUGUUUGAGAAGAUAAUAAAUGAAAUAUUUAACAUCAAAUGUGGAAUUAUAAGCAGAAUUAUGGUGUACAGAAUUAAAUUAUAUACAAUGAUUAAACGAUUAAAUUUGUGUAAUUUUCUGCAAAUUUGUUAGAAUUUCUAAAAUAUGAAGUAUUGCUUUUAAUCUUUUAAUCUUUUUAUUAAAUUUUUUUAUUAAAUUACUCUUUGAAGAUUAUCUGAUUUACUAAUCUGAUAUUAACUUUUUAAGAUAAGUGAGUAACAAUAUGUGAGUAAAUUACAUACGUGAUUAAUCAUCAUAAAAUUUGAUCAGAUAAAAAUUAACAGAUAACAUAGAUCUUAUGACAUUGUUU